AGAAGCUUCUGUCUGCAGCAGAUGGGUACAAAUGCAAAGACCCACAACUGGCAAACACAGAAGACGCUCAAUGCUCCUGUUCUGCCGCAGGUUCCCGUCUUGGUUGACCUGGAAUUCAUAUUUCCUGCCUCAGACACCACUCUGCCUGCCUAGAAAAGGCUUUUCCAAGGUGGGUUCAUAAGUAACGUUGCCCUAUAGGUACCUGCUUUCCUUGGAAGCUACUGGUUUGGCCCCACGUGUACUGGAGUUUACAGUGUAAUCCAAAACGAACAAUCCCAAACACAGAAAGGAACAGAGUCCAGGUCAACUUCCUAAACCGCUUGUAUAAGGGUCUAAAAGA